rnacentral:lncRNA from 1 species
AUGGAGAAACCUUCCCACAAAGGAGCCUUGGAAAGGGUCAUUGGAGUAACCUCAACCUGCCUCUCUGCAGCUGGUGGGAAGGAUUAUGACCAGUCCCAGCUCCCCAGUGAGCCUCAUUCUACCAGAGCCUUGUACCUCAAGUGGCAGUGCUUACUUCAGCAAAGAUGCCUAUGUGCUGGCUUCCUGAGGAGAGCUGUUCUGAUGCCGGAUUUUAUAAUCAUCACGAACUUCAUUGGAAAAGAGAGAGAAAGUGAAGUCUGGAGAGUCAAAAAGCCAGGAGCUAUGGAAAGACGGCUGGCUGUCUUCAUGACUUCCAGGUCUGCAGCACGCGCAGCAGUUUCAAGGCCUUACCUCAAGGAUAUGAUUGACUGGGGAGGUAGUAGUGAGUAUAUAGAUAUCUGUGCCCAGACCUCAGUGAAAUAAUGUGACAUUCAAGAACUGAUUGAAAAAAACGAAUCUUCAGAGUCCAUGGGAGUCUGCCUGCUUCAGAUCUAGCAAAAUAAAAUAAAAAGCUCAAGAGCUUUGAGGAAUUAU